rnacentral:rRNA from 1 species
CCAAUAGCGUAUAUUAAAGUUGUUGCAGUUAAAAAGCUCGUAGUUGAACUUCAGGCCUGUCCAGACGGUCCGCCUUAAUUGGUGUGUACUGUCCUUGGGUGGGUCCUACCUUCUGGCGAAGCGGCAUGGCCUUAAUUGGUUGUGUCGGGGAACCAGGACUUUUACUGUGAAAAAAUUAGAGUGUUCAAAGCAGGCAAAUAUGCUCGAAUACAUUAGCAUGGAAUAAUGGAAUAGGACGAUGGUUCUAUUUUGUUGGUUCUAGGACCGUUGUAAUGAUUAAUAGGGAUAGUUGGGGGCAUUAGUAUUCAAUUGUCAGAGGUGAAAUGCUUGGAUUUAUUGAAGACUAACUACUGCGAAAGCAUUUGCCAAGGAUGUUUUCAUUAAUCAAGAACGAAAGUUAGGGGAUCGAAGACGAUCAGAUACCGUCGUAGUCUUAACCAUAAACUAUGCCGACUAGGAAUCGGGCGAUGUUGACAAAAUGACUCGCUCGGCACCUCAUG